GAAGACAUUGUGUCUUCGAGUCGUUGAUUUCACACUGCCGAGAAAAGCCUCUAGAUAGAAAAUAGGUGCCCGUACCGCAAACCGACACAGGUAGUCAAGAUGAGAAUUCUAAGGUGAGCGAGCGAACUCUCGUUAAGGAACUCGGCAAAAUGACCCCGUAACUUCGGGAGAAGGGGUGCUCUUUAGGGUUAACGCCCAGAAGAGCCGCAGUGAAUAGGCCCAAGCGACUGUUUAUCAAAAACACAGGUCUCUGCUAAACCGUAAGGUGAUGUAUAGGGGCUGACGCCUGCCCGGUGCUGGAAGGUUAAGAGGAGUGGUUAGCUUCUGCGAAGCUACGAAUCGAAGCCCCAGUAAACGGCGGCCGUAACUAUAACGGUCCUAAGGUAGCGAAAUUCCUUGUCGGGUAAGUUCCGACCCGCACGAAAGGCGUAACGAUUUGGGCACUGUCUCAACGAGAGACUCGGUGAAAUCAUAGUACCUGUGAAGAUGCAGGUUACCCGCGACAGGACGGAAAGACCCCGUGGAGCUUUACUGUAGCCUGAUAUUGAAAUUCGGCACAGCUUGUACAGGAUAGGUAGGAGCCUUUGAAACGUGAGCGCUAGCUUACGUGGAGGCGCUGGUGGGAUACUACCCUAGCUGUGUUGGCUUUCUAACCCGCACCACUUAUCGUGGUGGGAGACAGUGUCAGGCGGGCAGUUUGACUGGGGCGGUCGCCUCCUAAAAGGUAACGGAGGCGCUCAAAGGUUCCCUCAGAAUGGUUGGAAAUCAUUCAUAGAGUGUAAAGGCAUAAGGGAGCUUGACUGCGAGACCUACAAGUCGAGCAGGGUCGAAAGACGGACUUAGUGAUCCGGUGGUUCCGCAUGGAAGGGCCAUCGCUCAACGGAUAAAAGCUACCCCGGGGAUAACAGGCUUAUCUCCCCCAAGAGUUCACAUCGACGGGGAGGUUUGGCACCUCGAUGUCGGCUCAUCGCAUCCUGGGGCUGUAGUCGGUCCCAAGGGUUGGGCUGUUCGCCCAUUAAAGCGGUACGCGAGCUGGGUUCAGAACGUCGUGAGACAGUUCGGUCCCUAUCCGUCGUGGGCGUAGGAAAUUUGAGAGGAGCUGUCCUUAGUACGAGAGGACCGGGAUGGACAUACCUCUGGUGUACCAGUUGUCGUGCCAACGGCAUAGCUGGGUAGCUAUGUGUGGACGGGAUAAGUGCUGAAAGCAUCUAAGCAUGAAGCCCCCCUCAAGAUGAGAUUUCCCAACUUCGGUUAUAAGAUCCCUCAAAGAUGAUGAGGUUAAUAGGUUCGAGGUGGAAGCAUGGUGACAUGUGGAGCUGACGAAUACUAAUCGAUCGAAGACUUAAUCAA
rnacentral:rRNA from 1 species